AUAUAUAUAUAUAUAUAUAUAUAUAUACAUUUGCGUGCUUAUUUAGUUAUAAAAAAUGAAAUUUUUUUUUUUUUUUUUAUAUAACAUUGGUUAUAGAUUUCUAAUGAAAUCAUGAAAGUAUACAUAUCAAUUGUUUUGUUAGUUUUAUUACCACUCUUUGCAUACAUUGGGACUUUUGGUAAGCGAUUAGGCAUCCGUAUGUGUUUGCAUAUAUAGACAUGCACAUGCAUAUAUACGUAAAUACAUAUAUAGGUAUAUAUAAGGAGUUUUAAACAAUGUUCAUACUUUUUUUAGGAAUUGCAAGAAAACAUGUCGCCGCAACCUUGUCAUCGAUAUUAGCAUAUUUUACUUUUUUAAUACUGUUUUAUUUAACGAACGGCAUUUUGAACAUCGGGUUUAUGACUUCCGUACCAUUAGUAUUUGCACUUUUAGUUUUCAACAUAGCUAAAUCAGAUUGUACGAUUAGGACUUUAUAUAAAUAUACAAGAUAUGUAUUUUGUUUUAUCAUUUCUAAAUUAGUAUAUGACGUAAUUACCUAUUUGAGUGUUGAUAAAACCAAUGCAUACAAUUAUGGAUUUAGUGGAUACCUUUACAUAAACAUGCUAAAUGGAAGUUACUACAUUAUAUUAAAAAUUGUGCACCUAUCUGUUUUAAGUAUGAUGUCAUUCCUAAUUUUAAAAAUGUGCUCUCGCUUAUUUUCAAAUGACACUUUAAAAAGUCGUGCAACAGUGAAAUCAGACAAGUAUAUUUUAUCAAUCUUAUGUUCGCUACCUAUUGCUACAUGCUUUACACAAAUUUUUUAUUUAAUAACUAAUACGAUAAACCCAAUAGACCCAAGCAUAUUUUUUAUGAUACCCAGUUCAUUAAAUUUUUUAUCAAUUAGCACAAUUUUUUCAUUAGCAAGUAAAAAAUAUAUUUUUGAAAAAAUAAAAAAGUGUAUAUAUAUAUAUAUAUAUAUAUCUAUACGUCCAUAUAUAUAUGUAUUUUUUUAAUUUUUUUAUCAGUUUGGGUUAUAACAUCUUGUGUUAUAGCAUACCUGAGUAACAUUGCGGAAACGGGUAUUUAACUUAUUAGUCUGACAAUUUGCUUAUACAUCUAUCAAUGCAACUUGAUGCUCUUACUUAUUACCAAUGUGUUACAUUAUAUAUACACACGUAUAUACAUUUUUCUUUUUAGAUUAUAACCACACUUUAAAUAAAAUUCCAACUAAGCUUAGUGAAUUUUUAUAA
ensembl:lncRNA